AUAGUUUGAUUAUGGCUCAGAUUGAACGCUGGCGGCAGGCCUAACACAUGCAAGUCGAGCGAGAAAGGUCUUCGGGCUGAGUACAGCGGCGGACGGGUGAGUAACGCGUAGGAAUCUACCUGGUAGUGGGGGACAACAUGGUGAAAACCAUGCUAAUACCGCAUACGCCCUAUGGGGGAAAGCGGGGGAUCUUCGGACCUCGCGCUAUCGGAUGAGCCUGCGUUGGAUUAGCUUGUUGGUGAGGUAAAGGCUCACCAAGGCGACGAUCCAUAGCUGGUCUGAGAGGAUGAUCAGCCACACUGGGACUGAGACACGGCCCAGACUCCUACGGGAGGCAGCAGUGGGGAAUAUUGCGCAAUGGGCGAAAGCCUGACGCAGCCAUGCCGCGUGUGUGAAGAAGGCCUUAGGGUUGUAAAGCACUUUCAAUUGGGAAGAAAAGUUGCUGCCUAAUAAGCAGUAGCUGUGACAUUACCUUUAGAAGAAGCACCGGCUAACUCCGUGCCAGCAGCCGCGGUAAUACGGAGGGUGCGAGCGUUAAUCGGAAUUACUGGGCGUAAAGCGCGCGUAGGCGGUUUGUUAAGUCAGCUGUGAAAGCCCUGGGCUCAACCUGGGAACUGCAGUUGAUACUGACCGACUAGAGUACGAGAGAGGGAGGUAGAAUUCCACGUGUAGCGGUGAAAUGCGUAGAUAUGUGGAGGAAUACCGGUGGCGAAGGCGGCCUCCUGGCUCGAUACUGACGCUGAGGUGCGAAAGCGUGGGGAGCAAAC
rnacentral:rRNA from 1 species